CUCUACUGUAGUAGGGUUGGAAGGUUAGACAGGUGGUAUGUAUCUGAUCUCUACUGUAGUAGGGUUGGAAGGUUAGACAGGUGGUAUGUAUCUGAUCUCUACUGUAGUAGGGUUGGAAGGUUAGACAGGUGGUAUGUAUCUGAUCUCUACUGUAGUAGGGUUGGAAGGUUAGACAGGUGGUAUGUAUCUGAUCACUACUGUAGUAGGGUUGGAAGGUUAGACAGGUGGUAUGUAUCUGAUCUCUACUGUAGUAGGGUUGGAAGGUUAGACAGGUUAGACAGGUGGUAUGUAUCUGAUCUCUACUGUAGUAGGGUUGGAAGGUUAGACAGGUGGUAUGUAUCUGAUCACUACUGUAGUAGGGUUGGAAGGUUAGACAGGUGGUAUAUAUCUGAUCACUACUGUAGUAGGGUUGGAAGGUUAGACAGGUGGUAUGUAUCUGAUCACUACUGUAGUAGGGUUGGAAGGUUAGACAGGUGGUAUGUAUCUGAUCACUACUGUAGUAGGGUUGGAAGGUUAGACAGGUGGUAUGUAUCUGAUCACUACUGUAGUAGGGUUGGAAGGUUA